rnacentral:lncRNA from 1 species
CGGAGCUGUGGCUGUCCUAGAACUCACUGUGUAGACCAGGCUGGCCUUGAACGCACAGAGAUUUGCCUGCCUCUGCCUUCACAGUGUUAGGACUAAAAGUUUGCAUCAACACACCCUGCUUAAUAAUGCGAAUAUUUUAAUGUCACUAGGAUUUGUGGCUAGGAUCUCCAUUUCUAUCAGUGUUUACACCACAAAAGGACAGCAGUACAUGGGGAGUGGAGCAAUCUGAAUUUGGGGGUGAAAUACUUGUACAGACUGGAUUCUAAAGAGUCUGAGGCUGUGAUACCAGAUCUCAAAUGCAAUUAAUUGAACCUAAGAUUCAACUUGUGGUUUUAAUGUCUGAUGUGCUUUAUGUUCACUUUAAAGCAAGAUGGAAAGUUACCUUUUGUUCCCAUGGAAGAGGAGUUUAUUCUGGGCGUUUCUAAGUACGGCAUAAAAGUCUCGACCAUGGAUCAGCAUGUAAGUGCAAUGCUCAGUAAAUACAUUCUAUGAGGUCAGGAGCCCCAGUCCUUAAUGGCCUCACUUAGACUCCUGUGUCCUGUGUGGUUGCCUGACUGCUGGGGUUAAGUCCUGCUCAUUCCUGAGCGUGAACAUGGGCUUCUUUUAUAUUUCCCACAUACAUGUGGCCCCCCACUGAGUUUUAUCUAGGGACCCCAUGAAGCCACCCCAUGAAGUAGCUGUUGGUUGGCGUGGAGGCCAGGCAGCGAUGUGGACAGUUCCUGCGAUGUGGAUGACCCUGUUCCUGUUUCUCUGGGUUUAAACAGGAAAGUGUGAUCCUGAAAGCAAGUCACCCCAUAACUAGGUAUACUAGUAUCCCUUGGGCUGAGAAGCUGAACAGUCUUCUCCCAGAUCUGUGGACCUACCUUUUUAAGCCUCCUACAGCAUUCUAUGUGUUUCCCGAGACCUGAGAGACAUCGGCAGCCAUGCCCCAGCUUUCUGAAGGUCUUGUGAUUUCCGCAGGGUGUUCUGCAUAGGCAUGCCCUGUAUUUAAUCAUCCGGAUGGUGUGUUACGAUGAUGGCCUGGGAGCCGGGAAGAGCUUGCUGGCACUCAAGACCACCGAUGCAAGCAAUGAAGAAUACAGCCUGUGGGUUUACCAGUGUAACAGCCUGGAACAAGCCCAAGCAAUCUGCAAGGUCUUAUCCACAGCGUUUGACUCCGUGUUGACCUCUGACAAGUCCUGAACUCUGCAGACAAGUGGAAACUGACCCAUUGAGAGCUCACCUUUUCCUGCAUCCGUCUGCAGCCAUAGACUGUUAGAGGGUGUAAAACUUGACCCAGUUUUCUAAAGUGUAAUUUAUAAAAUAUUGGUCUUGUACUAAAAGGUGUCGUUAACAGUAGGUCAACGUCCAAUAAAUUACCUGCUUUCUGGACUAAAGAGAAACCUUGGGGUCGGGACAAACGGCCUGGUACUUAAGAGCAUUUGCAGAGGGUUCAGUUCUCAGCACCAAUAUGGUGGCUCAAAAGUGCCUGUAACUCCAGUUCCAGGAGAUCCGACCUCCUCUUCUGGCUUCCUUAGGUACCAGGCAUACAUGUGGUGUACAUACAUACAUACAUACAUACAUACAUACAUACAUGCAUGCAUACAUGCAGCCACUCACCUGUACACAUAAAAAUAAAAUCUAAGAAAGAU